AACUCAGCUACGUUCUUAUUUAUUAAUACAAGAGAAAAUUCCUUGUAAAUUUUUGGGAGAAUUGUAGUUAGCAAUAAAAAUGCAAGUUCAUUGCAGAGUCAGCCAAUAAAAAAGUUAUUCAAGAAAUUUUGCCGAAACUGUGCUUUUGUUUUGCUAAGUUUUUAUUUAAUUAUGUUGACACUAGGAUUGUGAGGUCCGAUUAAUUAUAUGAUUAAUUUUGAAUGAAAGAAAGGACAACGUUUAUUGCAAAUUUGUUACUUUUUCUCUUGAGAUUUUUAACCAAUGAAAUUCAAGGAAAUGUGAACAAUGAACCACAAUUUCUUCUGCACUUCUUUAUUGCAAAAAUAACAACACCUUUUAGAAAGGUGCUUGGUGUUAAGUAGAGCAGAGAGACCUGUUGGAUGUAAAUGCUCAACGUUAAGUAUGAUAUGAUCCGGACUUAAUUCUAUUAACAGGAAAUUUAAGUUUCAGGGAAAAGAAAGGGAAAAGGAUUAAUUGGCCCUGAAAAGCUGAAAAAUAAGUUGGUACCGAUGUACAUAAUAUUUGUGUAAUAUUAAAUUUCUCUUUCUUUUUUAGUUUCAGUUAGUACGUCGAGAGUCGGUAAGUAAUCGUAUAGGAUAUACUAGUACUUAUACACGCAGGGAAAACAUGGAUGAUAAACUUAUUUUGGCAUUUUGGAAGAAAAGUAAUUCCCAGGUUUCUCUUGUUUUUGAAAAUGCAAAGUAAAACACUCGCCCUGCUGGUGGCAAGUAAUGAAAGGUACAAACAGAAGCAUUUUUUUUAUUCAAAAAAAUACAGCGGGAAAUAUUCUGCAGAAGGAAGAUUAACAGCCAAUAGUUAUGGAAAUACAUAUGUUUCAACUACCAUCAAUUGUACUGCAUUCAUUGGUGUUAAAAAAACGGAAAUCAUUAAAGUUUGUUUGAUGAAAUGUUGUAAACUUGGAUAGAGUUAAAUGUGGUAGCAUAUUGUGUAAGAAGAAGAAGAAGAAAUUCCAGGUUUGAUACAGUCUUCACGCCAAUAAGAAUAAAUCCUUUAGAUUGGGAAGAUACGAUGAACCUACCUGGUACGGUAAUUUUUUACUACUGUGUAAAGAAUUUAAAGUAUUUGAUGACGAAGAGCAACAUACUUUUUAUAAUUCAUAAUAGUUUUCUCAGAGAACGAAGAAAUGGAGGUAGGAAAUGAGUAAAGAUUAUUAUUUUAAACUUCUUUAACCCAUUGUCAACGCAAAGAUAAUUGAAAAGCAUGGACAUAAUCGAUGUGUUACUUUGAGGAAAAUCAGUAUUUCGCAGCGUUUCCCCCUUUUCAGCAAUUGUAAAAAAGAUUGGAAAACAACAAAACAAUCCCAAUAAUCAAUUACAAUUGGUUUUAGAGAGAAUCUGCUGUUGAAAUGUAUUUUCAUCAACUCAUCCUUCUUAAGAAUUUUAUUUUCUUAAGAUUUUUAUAUGAGGCAUAUCAACAUUAUUAAACAGCCGCAGCAUGUGCAAUAAACUUUAAAUUAUUGUUUACCGCGUUCCGAUAUGUUUACUGAUUUUACUAGCAUAUUGACAAGAAUAUCAUUUAACUGGAUUAAUGUUUCCCUUGACAAUUUUGUAGUUCGGAACUUUAGAAAAUGAUAAAAAAUUAUUUUCGGUGAUAAACUCUCGUUAUAUAACAUAAAAAUGAAUUUAAGCAAGUUAUUUAAAACAAAUCCGUCAAUAAAAAAAAAUAUUUAAGAUAUUUUGCCGAAACAAAUUUAACAGCAAGUCAUUCGCUUUUUAGAUGAUAAGGAAAUUUCGUACACUUACAGACAGAACUGUGAUUUUGUUUAUUUAUGUUGACACCGGGAUUGUGAGGUCCGAUCAAUUUUAUGAUUAAUUUGAAUGAAAGAAAGGACAACGUUUAUUGCAACUUUGUUACUUUUUCUCUUGAGAUUUUUAACCAAUAAAAUGUGAACAAUUGCGCAAUCCAUUUUAUUUAAGAAAAAUAUUAGAAAGAACCACAAUUUUUUCUGCACUUCUUUAUUGCAAAAAUAACAACACCUUUUAGAAAGGUGCUUGGUGUUAAGUAGAGCAGAGAGACCUGUUAGAUGUAAAUGCUCAACGUCAAGUAUGAUAUGAUCCAGACUUAAUUCUAUUAACAGGGAAAAGAAAGGGAAAAGGAUUAAUUGGCCCUAAUAAUUAUGUCAUUUAACGAUGUACAUAAUAUUUAUGUAAUAUUAAAUUUCUCUUUCUUUUUUAGCUUCAGUUAGUACGUCGAGAGUCGGUAAGUAAUCGUAUACUAGUACUUAUACACGCAGGGAAAACAGCCGUCGUCUGUCUGCUUGUUCACGAGAAAAAAAAUCGUGUCACGGAAACACUAAACGCAAUUUUUAAGGAUAGGCGCACCCGCAACUCACAUCGCUCACUACAGCAUCUACACAGUACACGCUGCCUGUCAAAGUACUUUUAAACCAGGUCCCUUUUCUAAUAUCUCCGUUAAACACACAAUAUUAAUAAAGGCCGUGGAUGGAGAGUCAAGGAAGGAGACCCUAUUAAUGUGUUAGUGCCUUUUGUAUUUUAUUCUCUGGAGAGCGACGAAUUUUUUAUCGUUUUGUUGGAUUUUUUGUGGUCGCAUUUUGCUGUUGUGCUUACAGUUUUUGCUGUUGGUGUUGCGUGUUGCUGUUUUUGCAGUUGUUUUUAGCAGAACUAAUUUAGAUUGGGUCGUAAAAAUAUAAGUACUACUUUUUAUACAAUAAUUAUUACAUGUAGCAACGUUAACUCAGCUACGUUCUUAUUUAUUAAUACAAAAGAAAAUUCCCUGUAUAAUUUUGGGAGAAUUGUAGUUAGCAAUAAAAAUGCAAGUUCAUUGCAGAGUCAGCCAAUAAAUCAAUUAUUCAAGAAAUUUUGCCGAAACUGUGCUUUUGUUUUGCUAAGUUUUUAUUUAUUUAUGUUGACACUAGGAUUGUGAGGUCCGAUUAAUUAUAUGAUUAAUUUUGAAUGAAAGAAAGGACAACGUCCUGUCAAAGUACUUUAAAACCGGGUCCCUUUUCUAAUAUCUCCGUUUAAUACACAUUAUAUCAAUGAAGGCCGUGGAUGGAGAGUCAAGGAAGGAGACCCUUGUGUUAGUGCCUUUUGUAUUUUAUUCUCUGGAGAGCGACGAUUUUUUAUCGUUUUGUUGGAUUUUUUGGGGUCGCAUUUUGCUGUUGUGCUUACAGUCUUUGCUGUUGGUGGUGCGUGUUGCUGUUUUUGCAGUUGUUUUUAGCAGAACUAAUUUAGAAUGGGUCGUAAAAAUAUAAGUACUACUUUCUAUACAAUAAUUAUUACAUGUAGCAACGUUAACUCAGCUACGUUCUUUUUUAUUAAUACAAGAGAAAAUUCCUUGUAAAUUUUUGGGAGAAUUGUAGUUAGCAAUAAAAAUGCAAGUUCAUUGCAGAGUCAGCUAAUAAAAAAAUUAUUCAAGAAAUUUUGCCGAAACUGUGCUUUUGUUUUGCUAAGUUUUUAUUUAUUUAUGUUGACACUAGGAUUGUGAGGUCCGAUUAAUUAUAUGAUUAAUUUUGAAUGAAAGAAAGGACAACGUCCUGUCAAAGUACUUUUAAACCGGUAGCAACGUUAACUCAGCUACGUUCUUAUUUGUUAAUACAAGAGAAAAUUUCUUGUAAAUUUUUGGGAGAAUUGUAGUUAGCAAUAAAAAUGCAAGUUCAUUGCAGAGUCCGCCAAUAAAAAAAUAAUUCAAGAAAUUUUGCCGAAACUGUGCUUUUGUUUUGCUAAGAUUUUAUUUAUGUUGACACUAGGAUUGUGAGGUCCGAUUAAUUAUAUGAUUAAUUUUGAAUGAAAGAAAGGACAACGUUUAUUGAAACUUUGUUACUGUUUCUCUUGAGAUUUUUAACCAAUGAAAUUUAAGGAAAUGUGAACAAUGAACCACAAUUUCUUCUACACUUCUUUAUUGCAAAAAUAACAACACCUUUUAGAAAGGUGCUUGGUGUUAAGUAGAGCAGAGAGACCUGUUAGAUGUAAAUGCUCAACGUUAAGAUAUGAUCCAGACUUAAUUCUAUUAACAGGAAAUUUAAGUUUCAGGGAAAAGAAAGGGAAAAGGAUUAAUUGGCCCUGAAAAGCUGAAAAAUAAGUUGGUAACGAUGUACAUAAUAUUUGUGUAAUAUUAAAUUUCUCUUUCUUUUUUACUUUCAGUUAGUACGUCGAGAGUCGGUAAGUAAUCGUAUAGGAUAUACUAAUACUUAUACACGCAGGGAAAACAUGGAUGAUAAACUUAUUUUGGCAUUUUGGAAGAAAAGUAAUUCCCAAGUUUCUCUUCUUUUUGAAAAUGCAAAGUAAACACUCGCCCUGCUGGUGGCAAGUAAUAAAAGGUACAAAGAGAAGAAUUUUUUUUAUUCAAAAAAAAUACAGCGGGAAAUAUUCUGCAGAAGGAAGAUUAACAGCCAAUAGUUAUGGAAAUACAUAUGUUUCAACUACCAUCAAUUGUACUGCAUUCAUUGGUGUUAAAAAAACGGAAAUCAUUAAAGUUUGUUUGAUGAAAUGUUGUAAACUUGGAUAGAGUUAAAUGUGGUAGCAUAUUGUGUAAGAAGAAGAAGAAGAAAUUCCAGGUUUGAUACAGUCUUCACGCCAAUAAGAAUAAAUCCUUUAGAUUGGGAAGAUACGUUGAACCUACCUGUUUUCUCAGACAACGAAGAAAUGGAGGUAGGAACUUCAGUUAGUACGUCGAGAGUCGGUAAGUAAUCGUAUACUAGUACUUAUACACGCAGGGAAAACAGCCGUCGUCUGUCUGCUUGUUCACGAGAAAAAAAAUCGUGUCACGGAAACACUAAACGCAAUUUUUAAGGAUAGGCGCACCCGCAACUCACAUCACUCACUACAGCAUCUACACAGUACACGCUGCCUGUCAAAGUACUUUUAAACCGGGUCCCUUUUCUAAUAUCUCCGUUAAACACACAAUAUUAAUAAAGGCCGUGGAUGGAGAGUCAAGGAAGGAGACCCUAUUAAUGUGUUAGUGCCUUUUGUAUUUUAUUCUCUGGAGAGCGACGAAUUUUUUAUCGUUUUGUUGGAUUUUUUGGGGUCGCAUUUUGCUGUUGUGCAGCAACGUUAACUCAGCUACGUUCUUAUUUGUUAAUACAAGAGAAAAUUCCUUGUAAAUUUUUGGGAGAAUUGUAGUUAGCAAUAAAAAUGCAAGUUCAUUGCAGAGUCCGCCAAUAAAAAAAUUAUUCAAGAAAUUUUGCCGAAACUGUGCUUUUGUUUUGCUAAGAUUUUAUUUAUUUAUGUUGACACUAGGAUUGUGAGGUCCGAUUAAUUAUAUGAUUAAUUUUGAAUGAAAGAAAGGACAACGUUUAUUGAAACUUUGUUACUUUUUCUCUUGAGAUUUUUAACCAAUGAAAUUCAAUGAAAUGUGAACAAUGAACCACAAUUUCUUCUACACUUCUUUAUUGCAAAAAUAACAACACCUUUUAGAAAGGUGCUUGGUGUUAAGUAGAGCAGAGAGACCUGUUAGAUGUAAAUGCUAAACGUUAAGAUAUGAUCCAGACUUAAUUCUAUUAACUAGUACGUCGAGAGUCGGUAAGUAAUCGUAUAGGAUAUACUAAUACUUAUACACGCAGGGAAAACAUGGAUGAUAAACUUAUUUUGGCAUUUUGGAAGAAAAGUAAUUCCCAAGUUUCUCUUCUUUUUGAAAAUGCAAAGUAAAACACUCGCCCUGCUGGUGGCAAGUAAUGAAAGGUACAAAGAGAAGCAUUUUUUUUAUUCAAAAAAAAUACAGCGGGAAAUAUUUUGCAGAAGGAAGAUUAACAGCCAAUAGUUAUGGAAAUACAUAUGUUUCAACUACCAUCAAUUGUACUGCAUUCAUUGGUGUUGAAAAAACGGAAAUCAUUAAAGUUUGUUUGAUGAAAUGUUGUAAACUUGGAUAGAGUUAAAUGUGGUAGCAUAUUGUGUAAGAAGAAGAAGAAGAAAUUCCAGGUUUGAUACAGUCUUCACGCCAAUAAGAAUAAAUAAGUAUAAGUGAUUUGCUAUUUUAAAGUUUGGGUAUAAUAUAAUAUUUUUGAUGAACUUAAAACGAUGCAGGUUGGUUUGCUUUACAAGAAAGGGAUAUUUUUAUAAUUAAAAGUAGCUUUUAUAUUAUACCUAAAUUAAAAUUGCUCAGAAUAUUUGAAAUACAAAUUACAUACAAUUGACAAUCACUAAAAUAUAGCAGGUGGGCUUAGAGAGGAUGAGAAUAUUCUGAUUUUAUUCAUCGAUUUGCAAACCUAGUUUUAAAGCAUCUUGUUAAUCCUGUAUAAAAACAUUUUCUAAAGCUAUAUAUAAUUAACAUUUUUCUUUAGAUCCUUUAGAUUGGGAAGAUACGAUGAACCUACCUGGUACGGUAAUUUUUUACUACUGUGUAAAGAAUUUAAAGUAUUUGAUGACGAAGAGCAACAUACUUUUUAUAAUUCAUAAUAGUUUUCUCAGAGAACGAAGAAAUGGAGGUAGGAAGUGAGUAAAGAUUAUUAUUUUAAACUUCUUUAACCCAUUGUCAACGCAAAGAUAAUUGAAAAGCAUGGACAUAAUCGAUGUGUUACUUUGAGGAAAAUCAGUAUUUCGCAGCGUUUCCCCCUUUUCAUCAAUUGUAAAAAAGAUUGGAAAACAACAAAACAAUCCCAAUAAUCAAUUACAAUUGGUUUUAGAGAGAAUCUGCUGUUGAAAUGUAUUUUCAUCAACACAUCCUUCUUAAGAAUUUUAUUUUCUUAAGAUUUUUAUAUGAGGCAUAUCAACAUUAUUAAACAGCCGCAGCAUGUGCAAUAAACUUUAAAUUAUUGUUUACCGCGUUCCGCCAUGUUUACUGAUUUUACUAGCAUAUUGACAAGAAUAUCAUUUAACUGGAUUAAUGUUUCCCUUGACAAUUUUGUAGUUCGGAACUUUAGAAAAUGAUAAAAAAUUAUUUUCGGUGAUAAACUCUCGUUAUAUAACAUAAAAAUGAAUUUAAGCAAGUUAUUUAAAACAAAUCCGUCAAUAAAAAAAAAUAUUCAAGAUAUUUUGCCGAAACAAAUUUAACAGCAAGUCAUUCGCUUUUUAGAUGAUAAGGAAAUUUCGUACACUUACAGACAGAA